rnacentral:tRNA from 1 species
GGAGAGGUGGCUGAGUGGUCGAAAGCGCUCCCCUGCUAAGGGAGUAAGGGUUUAAAAAGCCCUUCGAGGGUUCGAAUCCCUCCCUCUCCGCCA